UACAGAUUGGUGCCACAUCUCAGUCAAGUC
rnacentral:piRNA from 1 species